rnacentral:rRNA from 1 species
UACGUAGGGGGCAAGCGUUGUCCGGAAUCAUUGGGCGUAAAGCGCGUGUAGGCGGUUCGGUAAGUCUGCUGUGAAAGUCCAGGGCUCAACCCUGGGAUGCCGGUGGAUACUGUCGAACUAGAGUACGGAAGAGGCGAGUGGAAUUCCCGGUGUAGCGGUGAAAUGCGCAGAUAUCGGGAGGAACACCUAUGGCGAAGGCAGCUCGCUGGGACGUUACUGACGCUGAGACGCGAAAGCGUGGGGAGCAAACAGG